GACGAACGCUGGCGGCGUGCCUAAUACAUGCAAGUAGAGCGCUGAAGACUUUAGCUUGCUAAAGUUGGAAGGGUUGCGAACGGGUGAGUAACGCGUAGGUAACCUGCCUACUAGCGGGGGAUAACUAUUGGAAACGAUAGCUAAUACCGCAUAACAGCAUUUAACCCAUGUUAGAUGCUUGAAAGGAGCAAUUGCUUCACUAGUAGAUGGACCUGCGUUGUAUUAGCUAGUUGGUGAGGUAACGGCCCACCAAGGCGACGAUACAUAGCCGACCUGAGAGGGUGAUCGGCCACACUGGGACUGAGACACGGCCCAGACUCCUACGGGAGGCAGCAGUAGGGAAUCUUAGGCAAUGGGGGCAACCCUGACCGAGCAACGCCGCGUGAGUGAAGAAGGUUUUCGGAUCGUAAAGCUCUGUUGUAAGAGAAGAACGUGUGUGAGAGUGGAAAGUUCGCACAGUGACGGUAACUUACCAGAAAGGGACGGCUAACUACGUGC
rnacentral:rRNA from 1 species